AUUGAACGCUGGCGGCAUGCCUUACACAUGCAAGUCGAACGGCAGCACGGGAGCAAUCCUGGUGGCGAGUGGCGAACGGGUGAGUAUAUAUCGGAACGUGCCCAGUCGUGGGGGAUAACGCAGCGAAAGCUGUGCUAAUACCGCAUACGAUCUACGGAUGAAGGCGGGGGAUCGCAAGACCUCGCGCGAUUGGAGCGGCCGAUAUCAGAUUAGCUAGUUGGUGAGGUAAAGGCUCACCAAGGCGACGAUCUGUAGCUGGUCUGAGAGGACGACCAGCCACACUGGAACUGAGACACGGUCCAGACUCCUACGGGAGGCAGCAGUGGGGAAUUUUGGACAAUGGGCGCAAGCCUGAUCCAGCAAUGCCGCGUGCAGGAUGAAGGCCUUCGGGUUGUAAACUGCUUUUGUACGGAACGAAACGGCGAGCUCUAAUACAGUUUGCUAAUGACGGUACCGUAAGAAUAAGCACCGGCUAACUACGUGCCAGCAGCCGCCGUAACAC
rnacentral:rRNA from 1 species